UGUGGGAGCUGGCUUGCCAGCGAAAGCGGUGGAUCAGUCAACACUAAUAGCGACAGUGACAACGCCAUCGCUGGCAAGCCAGCUCCCACA
rnacentral:antisense_RNA from 1 species